rnacentral:misc_RNA from 1 species
AUGUUGAUGUCCAUGUGUUAAUUAUAGACUAGUCAACUAUCAUCCAACUCUUUUUCUCGUCCUCCCUCCCAGUACCAGUUACAUCAUAUCCUACCUAAUUCACUUUUCUUUGAAACAAAUUCAACGGUAAUCACUAAUUAUUCUAUUCUCAGUGCUCGCACACAGCGUAACAGCCAUCACCACGAUCCCAUCCCCAAAUUUAAAUAAAUAAAAUCCCAUUCAUCACCACCAUUCAACUCUUACCUUGCACAUGUUCAGAAGCAAACUCUACCAUGGAUUGCUCUAAUCUAAUCUCAUCUAUAUAAAGUCGGAGGUGCUUCAUUUCUUAAUGCUUGUCAGUUAACCAAUUAUUCAUUAGACCAAGAAAACACUC